rnacentral:rRNA from 1 species
CCUACGGGGGGCAGCAGUGAGGAAUAUUGGUCAAUGGGCGAGAGCCUGAACCAGCCAAGCCGCGUGAGGGAGUACUGCCCUCUGGGUUGUAAACCUCUUUUGUCGGGGAGCAAAAGCCGGACGUGUCCGGCUGUGAGAGUACCCGAAGCAAAAGCAUCGGCUAACGCCGUCCCAGCAGCCGCGGUAAUACGGGGGCUGCGAGCGGUAUCCGGAUUUAGUGGGUUUAAGGGGUGAGCAGGCGGAUUUUUAAGUCAGCGGUAAAAGCGUGGGGCUCAACCCCAUCCAGCCGUUGAAACUGGGGAUCUAGAGUGUGCGAGAGGUAUGCGGAAUGCGUGGUGUAGCGGUGAAAUGCAUAGAUAUCACGCAGAACCCCGAUUGCGAAGGCAGCAUACCGGUGCACAACUGACGCUCAGGCACGAAAGCGUGGGUAUCGAACAGGAUUAGAUACCCGUGUAGUC